CAGCAGCCACGGUAAUACGUAGGUGGCGAGCGUUGUCCGGAAUUAUUGGGCGUAAAGGGAGCGCAGGCGGGCGAGUAAGUCUUUCUUAAAAGUGCGGGGCUCAACCCCGUGAGGGGAGAGAAACUACUCAUCUUGAGUGCAGGAGAGGAAAGCGGAAUUCCUAGUGUAGCGGUGUAAUGCGUAGAUAUUAGGAAGAACACCAGUGGCGAAGGCGGCUUUCUGGACUGUAACUGACGCUGAGGCUCGAAAGCCAGGGGAGCGAACGGGAUUAGAUACCCCAGUAGUCCCUGUCUCUUAUACA
rnacentral:rRNA from 1 species